AGACUGGGACAAUUCCUGUUUACGGAAGACUAUAAAACCCUGCCCCCUACUCAUUUGGUGCUGACGCCAUUUUAGGCCUUAGCCUGCCUGCACCCAGGCGCUCAUUAAAACAGCAGGUUGCUCCACACUGCCUCGUGUUGUCUGUUGGCACACUCUCAAGAGUUUGAACGGAUACAAGAAUCUUUCAUCUGGUGCCGAAACCCGGGAGGGGCUCCGGUCUUCGUCCCCCGUGGACCUACCCCUCCGCCCCAGAAAGCAGGCCACAGCAGCCGGACAAAGGAAGCUCCUCAGCCUCCAGUUGCUUCUCUGUGCAUGCACAUCAGUCACUGAUCUCACCUACUGGGAGUGAAGAUGGAAUGAGAAGAACAGAGAAACAAUGACAGAGUCCUUACAAACACCAUGAUACAAGAAGGCAAUGGGGAUAUGUUAUCCUAAAGGAAUCCUAAAAGAAGUGAUCAAAAAGGUGAACAGAAAACCAAGUGGGAGUACUGUCACUGAGGAUGAGUUUCCAGAGAGAAUUAAUGCUGAAGAAGCUAUUGCAGACACUGCUGAGUAUGAAGAACUAAUUGGAGAAGGAAGCCGUUGUAUAGCAGAUGCAGAGCAGCAGCAAAAAUGGUAAUGAAAAUAGAAGAUAAAUUAGAAAAUUUGGAAAAACCCAAACAGAUCAGCCAUAUUGAAGGGAAAAAGAAAAACAAAACAAAGUGGGAGGGCAGAAAUGUAGAACGGUAUACACUCUUUUAACCCCAAGGAUGAAUGUAGCCAAGAACACAGUGGGGACUUAGGAGUCUCAGCACAGAGCAUUCUCUACUCCCUACUGCUCAGGCAAAGAACUCCUUCAUCAUGCAGAACCAAAACUGGUGUAGAGUCUUAAAUGACCUGGGUAUCUCUACGCAGAAGAAAGCGCUUUCCAUGUAAAAGGAUUAACUUGAACCUGGGUGCUCAAGGGACACCCUAGGCUGCUUAUCCCACUGAUUCUGAUCUGACUGUGUUAAGUAAUAAAUCAUGUGGUUACAUAUUCACA
rnacentral:lncRNA from 1 species